rnacentral:rRNA from 1 species
GACGAACGCUGGCGGCGUGCCUAAUACAUGCAAGUAGAACGCUGAAGGAGGAGCUUGCUUCUCUGGAUGAGUUGCGAACGGGUGAGUAACGCGUAGGUAACCUGCCUGGUAGCGGGGGAUAACUAUUGGAAACGAUAGCUAAUAUCGCAUAAUAGUAGAUGUUGCAUGACAUUUGCUUAAAAGGUGCAAUUGCAUCACUACCAGAUGGACCUGCGUUGUAUUAGCUAGUUGGUGGGGUAACGGCUCACCAAGGCGACGAUACAUAGCCGACUGGAGAGGGUAUCGGCCACACUGGGACUGGGACCCGGCCCAGGCUCCUACGGGAGGCCGCAGUAGGGGAUCUUCGGCAAUUGACGGAAGUCUGACCGGACAACGCCGCGUGAGUGAAGAAGGUUUUCGGAUUGUAAAACUCUGUUGUAAGGGAAGAACGAUAGUGGGAAUGGAAAGUUCACACUGUGACGGUAUCUUACCAGAAAGCGACGGCUAACUACGUG